AAAAAAUCAGUUUUGUAGCUGAAAUGUUAUUUUGGAGGGAAAAACACUUAACGAAAUUUCACAUUCCCACCAAAAAUUUAUGUUUUCGUAGAAAUUGUUAUUUUUUUGCCCAAGUCAUUUUCAUUUUACAAAGAAAAAAAAAACAAAUUCAUUUUCUCUAUCAUCGUCUUCAUUGUUUAUUUGAAUCAAUCUAUCCAUUCCGAUUGAAGAAACACAUAUGGAUUGGUCUUGUUCAAAGUCGAACUCAGGAACCCUAAUCUGUCAAGCCGCUGGACUCUUCUUCUUCGUCAUACCCAAACUCCUCCAUACACGGCGAAUUGGCUCCUUCACCUUCCUCCGCUGCUUUUCACCACCAUCACAUUUGCCGCUUCUUCUUCAUAUUCCCUUUGUUUUAUCAAUCUCAAUUGCACAGAAGUCAAAACUCUAGAGGUCAUCGACCUAUAUCCUUGGACAAGGUAUGGCUCAGCGUGAAGACGUUUAUGACCUAGAUAGCCACUAGAUUCCAGGUUUUCUUCUACUCCAAAGCUCUAGUUUCAAUUGGGUCUAUAAAAAUCUCCCUUUUUUGUUGUUUAGUCACACUUGUUCAGUUUUCACGAGUUUCUUUUGUUCGAUUUCGCUGACAAAACCCCCUUGCUUUUGUUCAAUCGAUUUCGGCAUUACUGUUUAUGUUCAUUUCUAUUAAAAAUCUCUCGUUUCUGUUGUUUCCUCUUGACAAAACUCCACCUUGAUUUUGUUCACUUACUUUUGUAUUUGUUUACGGUAUGACCAGAACUGGAUUGUUUAUGUUGGAUUAGCAGAAAAAGGUUUGUCUUUUUGGUGUGUGAUUCUGAUUGUUUCUCUUUUAUUGAUUUAUGCAACUAGGAACUGAGUUCUUAUAUGAAUUUUCUGUGAAAAGUUUUACUAUUUUAAUGAUGCCUCAAGGAGUUGUACCAGUUCAGGGAUGGACCCCUACACCGUAAGUUGUGUCAUAAGGGUCGGCUCGGCUCAGUUUCUCCUUCAGGUACCGGAACUGAUCACAACAACUACAGAAACUUGCAGCAAAACGAGUCAGGCUAAUCUGUCCUCUUGGCGGGAUCUAUGCAUUGUUCUUCCUUGAAGGUCAUCACACGAGAAGAUGAGAACGGAAACGUCAAACUUGAGUGUCCCGACAUUAGUAAACAACAGUUUGCAGCUGGGAGAUUUCACAUUGACUCACGGAUGACAGCUACUAAAGAUGCUGAUCGCAUUGCUAGGCUUGAUGUUAUUCGUAUUAUCUAUCAAUGAGCCUACUGCUACUUCUGUGGUUUAUGCUUUUGAAAGGAAAAGCAAUUAAAUAAUUCUUGUCUUUGAUCUUGGUGGUGGUACCUUUGAUGUCUCUGGUACUCAAUUGCAAUGUAUCUCAAAUGGUGACAAAAACAAAAAGAAAAAAUAUCUAAUUUGGGGUAUAUGAUUAAAGAGCUAAUUUGCUGAAUAUACCAAAAAGGGUGAGAUACCAUAGAAUAGGGGGAAAAUAGUAAUGAUUGGGGGAAAAAAAAAUUGGAGGGAUAUAGUGUAUGGAGUGCAAAUAGGGGAUCUUCUCUAUGUAUAAAUGAUAAUUAAACUUUUAGAUUAAAUUUAAUAUUUGAAAUUAAAUAACGAACAAUAGAGUUUUAAGAUUUUUAGUUAGCUUUGGGUAUGAUUAAUUUGGGGUUUAAACCCUUACCCUAAACAUAAACAUUAAAAUUUCAAUAUUUUCAUAAUAUAAUUUCAAUCUUAAAUUUAAAUUUAAAAUUUAAUAAUUUUAAAAAUAGAAUCCCAAAUUUAAAUUCUAAACCUCAAACAUUAAAUCUUAAAUCUAUACCCUAAAUAUAAUACCCUAAAUCCCAAACUUAAAUCUUACAUACAAAGUCGUAAAUCUAUUUUUUAAUUUAUAAUAUAAACUUUAAACUUAUAUUCCAAAUAUAUUCUAAAACUCAAAUCAUACACUUAAUUAUAAAUCUUAACCCUAAACCCUAAACCACAUACUUCAUAUUAACCUACAUCAUAAAUCCUAAUUUAAAAUUUUCAAAAAUUUAAAUUGUACUCUAAUUUCUAACAUAUACACUAUAACUGUGAACUCUAAAUACAAAAUCUAAAUUUUAAAUUUAAUCAAACACAUACACUAUAAAUGCCAAACACCAAACCCUACAUCAAACCCUAUUCUUCAAAUUUAUACUCAAACUCUUAAUCAUUUUAUAAUAAUUCUUAAUUCUUUUUAAAGAAAAUCAUAAUUAUAUAUCAUAAUUGAUAUUUCUGCAAUUACUACUUGUAAUUACUGAAAUUAAACAUCACUUAAUCUUCAAACAUUAGUCUUUGUAAACAUAUAAAAUGAUAUGUCAAACUUAAUAAGAUUAAAUAAAAUAAAAUAAAAAAGAAAGAAUUGUGUGGUAUAAUCUCUAUCUCACCUCCUUUUACGUUAUUCUUCUUUUUUUAAUAGCAAUCCUAGUGAUUCUUUUCUAUUGGCUAAUACAAGAAAGUGGGGAUAACUUCUAUUUUAACUUUAACCGUUGAUGAAUUUAAUCUAAGGGACAUAAAUAUUUGCUUCUUUUUUUAAUGAUUUUCUCUCCUUCUCGAUCUCUGCUUUUUUUUUUGAUCAACAAUCUCUGCUCCUCUCCUCUUCUACCGUCGUAAACCUGAAAAAAAAUGAAAGCUCCAUCUUUUCUUCUUCUCUGGAAUAAACCCUAAGAAAACCCAGAAAAAUUCUCCAUCUUUUACGAAGGACUCCACUUCUCACCUCGUUGGCAGCUCAAACGAAAUCUCUCCUUUAUUUCCGAAUUUGUGUAAGUUGUUUCCGUUUGGACUCUCCUUAGAUUUGUUGAUAAGAUUCAUUUUCUAUUUGUCUACAUACUGAUUUGGAAUGUGGAGGAGACAUGAGAUUUUACGGUGGAGACAGAAGAUUUGGCAGAGGAGAAGGAGGCGCCACCACCUCCAUCUGUUGAUUCUAUCCUUAGAUCUGUUGAUGAAAUUCAUUUUGUAUGUGUUUACAUACUGCUUUGUUUAUUUAGAAUGUGGAGGACAUGAGAUUUUAUGGAGGAGACAGAAUAUUUGGCAGAGGAAAAGGAGGCGCGACAAGCAGAUUGAACGGUGGCUC